GCCCAUACACCCUUGUUACGGAUGGGUCAAAUGACACAGGAGCGCAAAAGAUGAACCCGCUCACUGUCCGGGUCUUCAUGGGAGGCAAAGUUGUCCACCGAUUUUUGGGCAUGUGUACAACAAGUGGGAAGGCAUGUGGAACAGCAAGCGAGAUCUUCGCCAAAAUUAACUCCACAUUGUAUCCCUUGGGAGAACUGCGUGGCUCUCUCAGUGGACAAUGCAGCUGUCAACAUUGGACCACGAAAUUCAAUCGCCUCUAGGGUGCUCCAGAAACACCCCAACACCUACAUUCAUGGCUGUCCCUGUCAUGUGGCACACAACACUGCCAAAGCUGCAGGAGGGGGAUUUUUUAAAGUGUCUGGUUUUGAUUUGGAGGACAUGGUAGUGGACCUCGGCUACUGGUUCAAAGGUAGCACAAAUCGUAAAGGAUACCUGACAGAGUUUUGUGAGCUGCAUGAAGCUGAAUACAUGGAGGUCCUCCUGCACAGCUCAGUUCGUUGGCUAAGCCUUGAACGUUGCGUGACACGAAUUCUGAGGCUUUACGAACCUCUCGCGAGCUACUUCAAAUCUGCAAGCAUGGUCAUCAAUUUUCAAUUUCAUUAUGCAGCAACUACAUGGAUUGUUAGUCACAUACUUAUUGACAACCUCUUGUUUUGUGUUAUUUAUUAAUUGAUUCAAGAUGAAAAUCAGGCCAGAUUCAAGAGGCUUGUGCAGGAAUUCACUG